UAUAUAUGAGGGUCGUAUAAAAUUAUUUACGAUUAAGGUUUUCAACAAAAUAUACAACACACUUGAAUUAUAUGGCAAAAAAUUUAUUUAUUUGCUUUUCAUUUAGAACAUUGUAGCUGAAAUAAUCACUUUCCCCACCCUGCAUUCGGAGGGAACGUUGGAGUAGGUGGUCUAGGUGGUGAAGGUGGUCUAAAUGGAUCAAGGUAAGCAGUGCCGCUAUGGUAGUAAUAUGGCCCUGGUCUUGUGUUACGUCCUGGUUUGGCUAAUGCAACUGAGCACAGCAGUGCAAAAAGAAAUAAAUUUUGAAUCCACCUCAUCGUUAAUUGACAA